AGAACGAACGCUGGCGGCAGGCUUAACACAUGCAAGUCGAACGCGUGUAGCAAUACACGAGUGGCGCACGGGUGAGUAACGCGUGGAUAUCUGCCUUUUGGUUCGGAAUAACCCCGGGAAACUGGGGCUAAUACCGGAUGGUUCCUACGGGAUAAAGAUUUAUCGCCAAAAGAUGAGUCCGCGUACGAUUAGCUAGUUGGUGAGGUAAUGGCUCACCAAGGCGACGAUCGUUAGCUGGUCUGAGAGGACGAUCAGCCACACUGGGACUGAGACACGGCCCAGACUCCUACGGGAGGCAGCAGUGGGGAAUAUUGGACAAUGGGGGCAACCCUGAUCCAGCCAUGCCGCGUGAGUGAUGAAGGCCUUCGGGUUGUAAAGCUCUUUUGGCGGGACGAUGAUGACGGUACCCGCAGAAUAAGUCCCGGCUAACUUCGCGCCAGCAGCCGC
rnacentral:rRNA from 1 species